rnacentral:misc_RNA from 1 species
GGGUAUCACAAGGGAAGGUGAUGAUCAGCCUCCAUGGCUCUAUUCUUUUUCAGAUCCUCCAAUUAGCUCAAAGUUUAGCUUCCUCAGAAGAGAGGCCUCACCAACAGAACCUUUACUCAUAUAUCCGCUUUCUUUUAAGUAGGGUAGGAAAUAUGAUGAUGGACCCGAUGAGGAAGAGCAUCGACAAAGUUUUAAAAUCAUAAAGAUCCUUGACUG